GAGUGGCGCACGGGUGCGUAACGCGUAUACAAUCUACCUUUUGCUGAGGGAUAGCCCAGAGAAAUUUGGAUUAAUACCUCAUAGUAUUAUAGAAUGGCAUCAUUUUAUAAUUAAAGAUUUAUCGGUGAAAGAUGAGCAUGCGUCCCAUUAGCUAGUUGGUGAAGUAACGGUUCACCAAGGCAACGAUGGGUAGGGGUCCUGAGAGGGAGAUCCCCCACACUGGUACUGAGACACGGACCAGACUCC
rnacentral:rRNA from 1 species